rnacentral:ribozyme from 1 species
AGCAAUACUGCACUGGUAAGGUAUGGAUCCGUUAUCUUCGCAAGGUCAACAAAGGCUCUCUAUCCCUACUCGAAGACCCUACUUCGACUCAAUACGUCCUCGGCGUAUAGAAUGGUAAUAUGUCUCGCCAAAUAUCUGAGCUUGGGUAUGACUAUGGUGAUAUGACUAAAUUGAGUGGA